GAGGGGUUCUAUCAAUUUAUAUCUGUAGGGAAAGUGCUUGCCACUGCCCUUAGGCUUUUAUCAGUAAUGGAUAUUAUCAUUUUUUUAAAAAACUUUCCCCUCUUCCAUUUUAAUUUGCAUUUUUUGUGCACUGGUUAUUUGUUAAAUACAUAGUAAGUGUGCUAACAUGGACCGUGGCCUAUAACUAUAUCACAUUGACUCUCACCUUUCUGUGAUGAUUUCUCUCAAAAGUUCAAUUCCAUUUCUAAUAAUAUUCUCCUUUGACAGAUUCUGCAGUAUAGAAUAUACAGAUUCUACAGUGUAGAAUAUAGAACCUUAGCAAUAAAAGCCCAUUUAUCUAUUUGACCAAAAACCAGGCCUUUAGAGAAAACAUUGAAGAGAUGUUGAUAAGCUGAGGACAAAUUAUGCCAUGAUAGAGACCACAGCUGAGAAAGAGUGAAUUCUUUAGUGGGAUACUGCAUGUUUAAAUUAUCCUUUUCAAAUCAGGGCGCGGAUGAAGGAGGCAGGUGUGUCGGCUUUACCUUCUUUUGCAGUGAGCUGGAGUAUAGAGCCACUUCUUUGUAGAUCUGUUCAGGCUCUGUUGCCCAUCCAUUUCUUUACUCUCCAGUAAAGAACCAGGAAUUCUGAGAUACUCCCAGGGGCUUUGCCCAGGCAUUUUGUACCAGACCUGCCAGCCUGACUCAAGAUUCCUCCAUGGGGCCACAGGGAAUUUCUGGAUGCUGUUCACAGGACUUAGGAGUCCUGAGGACCCUGGAGAACUGUACCCAGGCCUUCACUCUGUCCAACCACGUCAACUUGCCAAUUUUACUCUGAUGCUGCUGCCCCACGUUGGGGUCCUGAAGGUGGGAAAUGUGGCAAAAACAAUUCUCCUUUAGACUUUGCCCUCAGUCUACACCCACCAUGUGAGAAUUUCAACCUCAACCAGCAGCUUGGGAAGAGACAAAGAAAUCCUUUCCCCUCUGUCUGCUCCUCCUUCUUCUGCCACUCAUCUAUUUUCCACCAUCCCUCCAGUGGCCAAAAGUGGUGAAUUUCCCUUUCUUCUCCCUGCC
rnacentral:lncRNA from 1 species